GUUUGGCCAACCAUCUGCAAGCAGAUAGUCGGCAAUUAGUCAUCGGUUUUGUUGGGUGGCACGAAGUCAGCCGCUUGCCGUAGUCGGGUCUCUGCUGGCGGACCAUCUUACUUGUUUCUAUCCAUUCGGAAGCGUGUUUGUAUCCAAGGCCAGUGCACAAAGACACAACACUUAGUGUAAGGAGCACAAAACCUGGACUACUGAGAAAUGGAAAAUGGAAGUUCGGAAGCACAGCGUGUGAAGUAAAUAUCCACCUCCUUCAUCACUCAAAGAACUGGAGGCUUUUCUUCUUGACUAAUGGGGUUCCAUCUGCCUGGAACUGAAAGAUGAGAGAGACCGGCAUCAGUUUCCACCGGCUAAUACGACGCAACACAACGAGCUGGCCCAAAGCACGUCAGCUGUAGCCAAUGUAUCACAUUAGUAGCAGACUUAAUGCUAUGAGAUGUAACUGCGUGGCUAAAAGAACAGUGCAUCACCAGGCAGACAAGGCCAGCUUCCAUUAGGCCCUAGCCAUUUCUUCUCUGUUAAUCUUUGAUGGGACUGUCAUGUGAGGAUAAAUGCCAAACAGCUCUACCUCUUUCACUGGGUCUUUGAUUUGUGACCUGAAUGCACUUAAUCUCAAUGGCAUUAUAGAUUUAUACCUAUUUUUAUGUAGAGAAUCAC
rnacentral:lncRNA from 1 species